GGUAGGGAUAGGGAUCCCCAUUAAGGUGCGGUUGGGAGCAGCCGCGUCUCUUGACCAGUCUGGUACCCAGCGUUUCUUGGACCCGGCACACGUUGGAAAAAUUUCAGUGGCCCCUUUUUGCUUAGGAACUGAUUUGGAUGGCUCGGGUUCCAGUGAUAACUUGCAGAGAUGGUGGCUGGGGACUUCAGUCUGUAAAUGCACUCACUCAUUUGCAUAUUCUUCUGGUGCAGCGACCCCAACACAGACUUUGGAGGCUUUCAAAGUGGGGCACCUCGAUUUCUCGAAUCUGUGGUGUGGCGAGUACCCGUGUUCCGCUGGUUUAACUAGCCUGUUUGAAGGCAUAGUCGAUUCUCCAGCAAGAACAACGAAAGCAGCCUUCUUCACCCCCUGGGGGAUUUUCUUUUGCCCUCUGCAGCGGAGUGUGACUUCAGACAGAAACUUCAGAUUGGCCAAGGCAGGUCUGUCUGAUUCUAUUCUAAAGACCAAGUUGGAGAUGAGCUGUCGUUGGUGUUGACUGAGUCCAUACAGUCG